rnacentral:sRNA from 1 species
AACCAUUUUUACACUACAGCUGGCUGAUGGUUCACUCCUGCGUUUCUGUCUUCUCAUAAUUGAUAUGCUCGUAAGAAAUCAAAUAAAGAAUAAUUUAUAAACUGGGGAGAAAUCGUGGAUACUUAUUUAAAAAAGAAUAUGGUUUAUAUUCUUCUAUUCUUCUACUUUCUUUAAUUUCGCCCCAGAAACUAAAAUUUGAAAAGCAGAAUAUUCCCUAUCUUAACCAUUUCGCAAGUUUUACGGAGAUAAGUUUUGAUUUGGAGCGACGCUGUAAAAGUAAAUAUUCCUAAUUUAGGUAACUACAAAUAAAAAAAAUUAUGUGGAUAUGUAGAUCAUGUGGUAGUUAUAUAGAGAAUAU